AGUGAACGCUGGCGGUAGGCCUAACACAUGCAAGUCGAACGGCAGCACAGUAAGAGCUUGCUCUUACGGGUGGCGAGUGGCGGACGGGUGAGGAAUACAUCGGAAUCUACUUUUUCGUGGGGGAUAACGUAGGGAAACUUACGCUAAUACCGCAUACGACCUACGGGUGAAAGCAGGGGAUCUUCGGACCUUGCGCGAUUGAAUGAGCCGAUGUCGGAUUAGCUAGUUGGCGGGGUAAAGGCCCACCAAGGCGACGAUCCGUAGCUGGUCUGAGAGGAUGAUCAGCCGCACUGGAACUGGGACACGGUCCAGACUCCUACGGGAGGCAGCAGUGGGGAAUAUUGGACAAUGGGCGCAAGCCUGAUCCAGCCGUACCGCGUGGGUGAAGAAGGCCUUCUGGUUGUAAAGCCCUUUUGUUGGGAAAGAAAAGCAGCAGGUUAAUACCCCGCUGUUCUGACGGUACCCAAAGAAUAAGCACCGGCUAACUUCGUG
rnacentral:rRNA from 1 species